UACGUAGGGUGCAAGCGUUAAUCGGAAUUACUGGGCGUAAAGCGUGCGCAGGCGGCUUUGCAAGACAGAUGUGAAAUCCCCGGGCUCAACCUGGGAACUGCAUUUGUGACUGCAUGGCUAGAGUGCGGCAGAGGGGGAUGGAAUUCCGCGCGUAGCAGUGAAAUGCGUAGAUAUGCGGAGGAACACCGAUGGCGAAGGCAAUCCCCUGGGCCUGCACUGACGCUCAUGCACGAAAGCGUGGGGAGCAAACAGG
rnacentral:rRNA from 1 species